rnacentral:lncRNA from 1 species
GGGCACACGUUUCCAAGGGCAUGGGCCAGCCACUGGACAGGCCCUCUUUGGGUGAGCGAUGGCAAAAUAUAGGGUCCCUCCUAAGAACAGUCAUUAGGAGAGCAGCAGCUGUGAGGGCUGAUUAGCCUAGAAGGGAACAUUGGAUGUGGCAGCCAAUCCUCUAGCAUAACAGAAUUAACAUAAAACAAGCAUUUUGGAUGAGGGAUACUCCACCUGCACUGUUACUCACUGGAGAGCGUCUGAGUGACCCACAGACCCACACCCCUUCUUACCCACCUCAUCUGCGGGGAGCCGGACCAGGACAUGUAGAGCAAGAUGAGGAAGAGCAGCACCACGAAGGCAGCCAGGCUCACCCAGAAUGCGAUCACGAUGGAAUCUGCGGGAGGAGGAGAUGCAUCUCAGCGCUGGGUUAUGUCAACAUAAAGCAAGGCUGAGGGGCAGUAAGGAGUCCCAGGGUAUUGUGGAAUGAGGGCCCUGAGUUUCGGUUGUCCUCCAGCCUCUCAGCUGUUACCAUGGGGAAGAUCUCCCAUUAACAAUAACUUUGGGAAAGAACAGGGGAGCCAAGAAGUGUUUUUUUCCUCAGGGCAGCUGGCCACGGGGUCUGUUUAGGGUGAUUGUUAAGAGGAAACAUUGAAUGGAAUUGUGUGCCCCCCGACCCCAUGCAUCUGCUUGCCCGGCUCCUAGUGGUGCUCAGAGGAACAGUCCUGAAGGAUGGGAGGGAGAGGAGAGGGCUGUGGGCAGCUCUGUGUG